ensembl:lncRNA
UGCAGACGUCGAAUAGACGUCUCCGUGAUGUACGUGUGCUAUCAGGGAGGGUUACAUGGAUGGAGUAAGAGAUGUGUAGUACUCCGGUGUAGUAGGUGGCGGUAUGUGCGUUUCACGGGUGUUUGUAAGCCGCCAUUACUCUAAAAGUAGGAGAUUUCCAGUCUUCCGAUCCAUUAACCUCGCGCAGAGUUGAGUCGCUGCGCUUCUUUACGCGUCCAGCGAUUAUGUAAAUGAGGCCAGCGGCCGUAAACUGACUCGUGAGACCAGAAUAUCGUUCAUUCGCGAUGACUGGAAGAUUGUGGACACCCGAAGCGGAGGAGACGCUGAUCGAGCUCUGGCAGGAGUCUGCAUGUCUGUACGACAUUUCGUCCGCCGAUUACCACAACCGGGAGGAGAAGGACAAACGAUGGAAGGAGGUCGCCGAUGCGCUUCAGAUGCCCGCUUUGGCGGUGGCGACCAGGGUGGCGUCUCUGAGGACUCAAUAUUCCAGACUGAGGAAACCCAAACCCAACGGGAGUGAGAAGAAGCCCCUCACGAUGAGGCAGCGGUGGCUCCUGAGGGCCCUCGGCUUCCUGAAGCCACACAUCGUUCAUCGGCAAAGCGAGAACCCUCUGGGUUCUGAUAAAGUGGAGGAAACUGCAGACGAGUCGGAUGAAAUGGAGACGGAUAAAGAAGUGGACAGUUUCGACUCCAUCAGCGUGUGUCUCUCCCCGAUGCCCGGCACUCCUGGCUGCUGUAAGCUACCAUAGUAAAAC